rnacentral:rRNA from 1 species
AACGAACGCUGGCGGCAGGCUUAACACAUGCAAGUCGAGCGAGACCUUCGGGUCUAGCGGCGGACGGGUGAGUAACGCGUGGGAACGUGCCCUUCUCUACGGAAUAGCCCCGGGAAACUGGGAGUAAUACCGUAUACGCCCUUUGGGGGAAAGAUUUAUCGGAGAAGGAUCGGCCCGCGUUGGAUUAGGUAGUUGGUGGGGUAAUGGCCCACCAAGCCGACGAUCCAUAGCUGGUUUGAGAGGAUGAUCAGCCACACUGGGACUGAGACACGGCCCAGACUCCUACGGGAGGCAGCAGUGGGGAAUCUUAGACAAUGGUGGCAACCCUGAUCUAGCCAUGCCGCGUGAGUGAUGAAGGCCUUAGGGUUGUAAAGCUCUUUCAGCUGGGAAGAUAAUGACGGUACCAGCAGAAGAAGCCCCGGCUAACUCCGUG